rnacentral:rRNA from 1 species
GACGAACGCUGGCGGCGUGCUUAACACAUGCAAGUCGAACGAUGAACCCGGGGCUUGCUCCGGCGGAUUAGUGGCGAACGGGUGAGUAACACGUGAGUAACCUGCCCUUGACUCUGGGAUAACUGCGGGAAACUGUAGCUAAUACCGGAUACGACCCUCGGCGGCAUCGCCAGGGGGUGGAAAGAAUUUCGGUCAAGGAUGGACUCGCGGCCUAUCAGCUAGUUGGUGAGGUAACGGCUCACCAAGGCGACGACGGGUAGCCGGCCUGAGAGGGUGACCGGCCACACUGGGACUGAGACACGGCCCAGACUCCUACGGGAGGCAGCAGUGGGGAAUAUUGCACAAUGGGCGCAAGCCUGAUGCAGCAACGCCGCGUGAGGGAUGACGGCCUUCGGGUUGUAAACCUCUUUUAGUAGGGAAGAAGCGAAGGUGACGGUACCUGCAGAAAAAGCACCGGCUAACUACGUGCCAGCCGCCGCUGUAA